GACGAACCGAGCGAACGUUGUUCGGAAUCACUGGGCUUAAAGGGCGCGUAGGCGGGCUGUCAAGUCUGGGGUGAAAUCCCGCGGCUCAACCGCGGAACUGCCUCAGAUACUGACGGUCUCGAGGGAGGUAGGGGCGAGCGGAACUGAUGGUGGAGCGGUGAAAUGCGUUGAUAUCAUCAGGAACUCCGGUGGCGAAGGCGGCUCGCUGGACCUCUUCUGACGCUGAGGCGCGAAAGCCAGGGGGAGCAAACGGGG
rnacentral:rRNA from 1 species